UACGGAGGGAGCAAGCGUUGUUCGGAAUUACUGGGCGUAAAGGGCGCGUAGGCGGAUCGAUAAGUCAGAUGUGAAAUCCAUCGGCUUAACCGGUUGAACUGCAUUUGAAACUGUCGGUCUUGAGAACAGGAGAGGGGAGUGGAAUUCCAGGUGUAGCGGUGAAAUGUGUAGAUAUCUGGAAGAACACCAGUGGCGAAGGCGGCUCCCUGGCCUGAUUCUGACGCUAAGGCGCGAAAGCUAGGGGAGCGAACAGGAUUAGAUACCCCUGUA
rnacentral:rRNA from 1 species